AUGGAUCAGAAAGCUAGUACCACACGAAGUGACCUGGAGAACACGCUACUUGAUGAAGCUUCGGAGCCCAAGGCCCGGCCAUUAUCACUUUUGGCAGAAAUUACAAAUGAUUUCUCUGAUAAGCAGGAAAUUGGCGGAGGUGGUUUUGCGGUGCUAUGUAAGGAUAUCACAGGGUCCACCCGCGAGCGACCUAUACUUGACGUUCACCCACUGGAGCUCCGCUUCCCCUCUAAACCCAAUAACGACCACGAAGACGAUGACUAUAUCAUGUGCCCACUGCACCUAACAAACAACACAAGUGAAAAUGUGGCAUUCAAACUUAUUGACAAGGGCAGGCGGUGCGAUAACCGGCAUCUGCAUGGCAUUGUGCCUCCCAGAGCCACCUGCACAUUGUUUGUGAGAGCCAAAGAUAAUGAAAUGGAUUACGGUAACAUCCUGCAGAGCACUAUAUUGGGUGAAAAAUACCUCGUUAAAUUCAAAGAUGAGGCCGAGUGCGAUGGAGUUUUCAAGGAAGCCAAAGAGAUGGGGAAUGCGGUGCACGAGGUGGCACUGAAAGCUGUUUAUACUCCACAAGGAGAGAUGGGGUACACGAUGCAUGAGUCUCCAAUACGGCCAAUAAUAAAGAUCACAGCAGGGAUGUAUACUAUUGACUUGAUAUGUUCCCUGGAUGCUCAUGCAACAGAGCCAUGGAUUAUAGCAGGUGAUUCCAAAGGAAACAUUCACACAUGGAACUAUCAGACGCAGACACAGAUGGACUCAUUUGAAGUCUCAGAGCAAGAGCCCAUAGAUGCAAUCAAAUUUGUUGCAAGGAAGCAGUGGGUGCUGGCUGGGACAUCUGAUGGUUUCGUCCAAGUGUACCACUGCGACUUUUUAACAGAACCGCAAAAGAUCAUGAGUUUCAGUGCAAGCAACUUUGAUUCACUAGCCGUUCAUUCAAGCAAGCCGUAUGUGUUUUCAUCUGGGUGGGGCGUGACGCUUUGGGAGUGCGACAAGGGCUGGCAGUGCGCACAUGAUUUUGACUAUGUCGCAAAUCAAGUUGCAUUCAACCCACAGGACGCCAACAGUUUUGCGAGUGCGGUGUAUGGAGCAAGUGCAGAGAUUUUGAGCCUUGAUUCCGGUCGCCGAGUAUAUGAUCUCCCUGGGCAUUCCAAGGGUGUGAACUGUCUUGAGUUUUUCACACGUGGUGGUCGACAGUAUUUGAUCACUGGUUCUGAUGAUUGUACUGCCAAGAUAUGGGACUUGCAGAACAAGUCCUGCAUUCAUACACUGGAAACUAUGUCUCCAAUUACAUCUGUCGUUUCCUUUCCAGAUGCUCCGUAUCUGAUUACAGGAUAA
rnacentral:rRNA from 1 species